rnacentral:rRNA from 1 species
UACGUAGGGAGCGAGCGUUGUCCGGAUUCAUUGGGCGUAAAGAGCUCGUAGGCGGCUUGGUAAGUCGGAUGUGAAACCUCCAGGCUCAACCUGGAGUCGCCAUCCGAUACUGCCAUGGCUAGAGUCCGGUAGGGGCCCACGGAAUUCCUGGUGUAGCGGUGAAAUGCGCAGAUAUCAGGAGGAACACCUGCGGUGUAGACGGCUAUCUGGACGGUUACUGACGCUGAGACACGAAAGCGUGGGUAGCAAACAGG